ensembl:lncRNA
CUUUAUGUCAAUUAAUAAUGAUUUGCACCGGCCACUGAGGAGGAUCUUGUGUGUGUGUGUGUGCUGCCCUCAGCUUCACCUGGGUUCUUAUCUCAACCUGCUUUGUAGCUUCUCGUAACUGGCACGGAGAAUGUUCUUCACAUGUGUAUAAAAACUCAGCGUUUUCACUGCUCGGAGACGUCAUUACGCCGAGCGCUGAGAUACGUGCUAGUGUGUUGGACCUCCUGCUUGCAAGCAACAGUUAGAGCCAGAUGUCUGCGGAGAAUUGCUCAUGUAAUCUUUUUCUCUUCUAAAUAAAUGUUAACUUUUGACUUUAAUUGAUCAACGUGCUGCGAUUCUUCUCAUCAACCAACUCGGGGGGAUCGGAGAUCCUGACAAUUUGGGGGCUCGUCCGGGAUGAGAGGUUUUCCUGCACAGGCGGAUUCGAUCUAAAACGCUUACACCUGCUGAACGCGACGUACUCCCAGGUCGGCCUCAAAACAAGGGUGUGACGACCUGGAGGCCUCCAUGAGGGCGGAAGACACACCGCUGAGGGAGGAGAGACGAGCUGCAGAAGAGCAGACCAAGACAGAAGGAUUCCCGAAUGCAGGAGAGACCGAGAGGUUUUCCGUUUCCCCUCCAAAGACAAGACAUUAGUUAAGUUUUACGGGCAAAGAUCGACUGAAGCCUGAGUUACUGAGUUACUCCCUGUUUUGACUGUUUUCUGUUGAAUCUGAAGGACGUAAAUUAAAACCUUUGUUUACAUUUUGAACCCGGUGUCCUCGCACUAUUUGAACUACCCCGGAGAGAGCGGCGGCGCCUCUCGUGACAUCACAAGACCAAGAACGGUGUAAUUCGGAAAAACCACCUCCAUUCGAGGGUAGAAAAAAAAAAAAAAAGGAGAGACUGAUUCUUAAACAACAAGUCUGCUGCUGCAGAGCCUUUUUUUUUAAGCUCUCCAAGCUAUUACUACACUUUUGAUUUAAAAAUAGUAGAAUUGUAGACAUGCAUUGAAGAAAGAAAAAGAAGAUUUAAAGUCUUUAAAGCAACAACGGCUAGAAUAAGCGUAAUAAAUCUCUGUUGAAGCAGCGGGGGUUUUAUGGGAGUAAAAAGGUCACAGCAGUGAGAAGAUGUGUGGGAGCAACGGUGGAGGCCAACAAGGUUUUAUACCUCCUCACACACAUACUGUUGAAUAAAGUUAAUCCUGAGUGCCAUCAUUUAGUGAUAUAAUUAGGUUUAUGCAUCUUUCUUGAAUACCAUGACAUAUAAAGAAUAAAGAGGAUAAAUGGUCCGUUUGCUUUUCAGUUUAGAAGAAUAAGCUCAUCAUUACUGGGCUGUCAAAGGUCGGCCAAAAACCUUUACAUGAACAAGCAGGUUGUAGGGGGGAUUUUAUGAAAUCAACUAACAGGUAGAUAAGACAUUGCAACUUUUAGUUUCGCUGAACUACUUUCUUUUUAAGUGUAACACUUGAAUCAAGGAUUUAAAAUAUGAUGAAAAAUUAUUAGAAGAAAUAGAAAUAAACAUGAAAACAAAUUAAGCGCAGCAGGAAAGAAAUUUGUUUUGGGGAAAAACACAGCGCGCUUAUUUGGACGAAUGUAAGGAAACAUGGGUGAAACACACAGGUCGUCACCCAGGCAGUGCGGGAGUGCACAGGGAAGGGUUUAGACAGGCGGUACUGGAGGGCGUACCAGAGAGUGUGAAAGCUAAAAUGAUGACUAACCCAGACCUGCCAGGUAGUGACUCUGCUGUGUGGGAGAGACAUUUGUUACACCAUUUACAAGACGCGACAGAAGAAGCGACAGGAGAAGAUAAACAGUUAAAGGAGCUGCAGGCUCGACUGCUGAAGCUCCAGCUCGCCAAAGUAAGACAGGAAGUGAGCGACAAGGAGCAGAAAGGGAAAGACGAGCGAUAGAUGGUUGCACAGGCUGCCCCAGCUGGAGGUAACGCCCCUGAUUUGUAUCCACUCCCACCAUGGGAGGAGACGUCGUAUGGGACAGCCCAAGGGGGUGGUUACAGGGGAGGCUAUGGAGGUAACUGCUGGGGAGGAGAGUGUUGAGGAGGUCCAUAUGCAGGGGGAGGAGGAAGGGGCGGACGCAGAUGGGGAAGAGGUUGUUGGCACCAGGUUAAGGAGUGUCCUGGUAAAAGAAGACAGGGGAGGGGUAGAGGUGUCCCACCCCAGGAAGCAUGGGCUCCCAACGCACAUGCUGCACCGCCCUCUAGAGGACAGUACCCCACACUGGAGGACUGGGGCUAUGAGGCAGAUGCCUCUCAGUGACACACCCCCGAGAGAGACCUGGACAGCAGGGGCAGGGCAGACCCCAUGCUGUCACUCACGGUACUACAACAACAACUGCAAAAAAAACAAAAUGGAUGGAACGGUUCUGCAUUGCAAUGAAAAUGGACAAACGAGUGGUCAGUGGGUGGUGCAGCCACUGCAGCAACAACAACAAUAUGCAGACAUUUAUUGGGGCCUCCUGAAGCCUGAGUGUUCUGAAGGCCCAGGGGUUAUUACUCUUUACCAAAAGUGGAAGCCUUGGAUAACUCUUCUUGAUCCUUAUGUUCCUCCUUCAAAUCCUCCUCAUGUAACAUUGUUUUAUGAUAGACAAGGGGAUGAGUGCUAUUGUGACGAAUUCAUGGAACAUUUAGAAAACACGGAAUCGGAGGUGACGUCCCAAAACCUCUAUGUGGGCCCGGAAGGGGUAGCCUCAGCUGUCAUCCUCUCCCCCGACCAAUGAAAAUGGUAUUUAAUGAAUCAAGAUGCAGUGCCGCAUGUGUCGUUGGCUCUGCAUCCCAAACAUCAGGCUAAAGACGGGCGCUGCUGCUAGACGACUGGGUAUGCACUCAACUGCCAAAGCUUGUAAUGAAAAUAGCACACCACUGAUUGAGGCAAUUGUUCACUGAUGGCAGCUGCUUUAGACAUCCACAGAAGGGGUUGCAGUCGGGAUACGCGGUAGUCAGAAGCCAUGGGGCAGGGACAGAGGUUCUGGAAGCAGAAAGGAUCCAGGGAAGUCAGUCAGCUCAAAGAGCUGAGGUACUCGCAUUGAUAAGAGCAUUACAGCUGGCAGAAGUAAAGGCAGUAAACAUCUAUACUGACUUGGCGUAUGCAGUAGGUGCAGCUCAUGUGGAGCUGGGACAGUGGUUAAGAGCAGGUUUUCUGACGGCUGGAGGAAAACCGAUGGGGCCACAACUUAAUUAAGGAAGCCCAAAAGGGGGCGUGUCCUCAGGAGAAAACGGAGUGGAAGCAAAGAGGGGCUACAGAGGUUGGAGGCCUCUGGAGGUCCCCUGAUGGACGCCCAGUACUGCCGCCAGGCAUCAGAAACAAGUGUUUACAGGAGGCACAUGGGAUGGCUCAUGUGGGGCACAAACAAAAAUUGGCUAAAAUCUGUGCACAGAUACAUUUAACCUGGGUUCAAGCCCUUCCAUUCGUGUUAAUGGUCCUUAGAAGCUCAGUAAAUCAGGGUACGAACUGACCACCGGAAGACAGUUCCCUGGACCCAGUGCCGGCCUGAAGCUUAGGCCCAACCCGGAAGCUCCACCAGCUGAGUAUGCAAGUCAUAACGAACUACGAGCUCUCGUUUCAG